rnacentral:tRNA from 1 species
GCCUGGGUGGCUUAGUUGGUUAAAAGCAUCAGACUCUCGAUCUCAGGGCCAUGAGUUCACGCCCCAUGUUGGGUA